rnacentral:rRNA from 1 species
UUGACCUCGGAUCAGGUAGGGAUACCCGCUGAACUUAAGCAUAUCAAUAAGCGGAGGAAAAGAACCCAACAGGGAUUGCCCUAGUAACGGCGAGUGAAGCGGCAACAGCUCAAAUUUGAAAUCUGGCUCUUUCAGGGUCCGAGUUGUAAUUUGUAGAGGAUGCUUUGGCGUUGGUCGUGGUCUAAGUUCCUUGGAACAGGACGUCACAGAGGGUGAGAAUCCCGUACGUGCCGCCCCUUCGCCGUGUAAAGCUCCUUCGACGAGUCGAGUUGUUUGGGAAUGCAGCUCUAAAUGGGAGGUAAAUUUCUUCUAAAGCUAAAUAUUGGCCAGAGACCGAUAGCGCACAAGUAGAGUGAUCGAAAGAUGAAAAGCACUUUGGAAAGAGAGUCAAAAAGCACGUGAAAUUGUUGAAAGGGAAGGCGCUUGCAGCCAGACGUGCCCGCAGUUGCUCACCUGGGCUUUUCCCGGGGCACUCUUCUGCGGGCAGGCCAGCAUCAGUCCGGGCGGUUGGAUAAAGGCCUCCAUCACGUACCCACCUUUCGGGGUGGCCUUAUAGGGGAAGG